rnacentral:rRNA from 1 species
CAUUAACGAGUGAGGGUCUCAA